AUGGCUUACCCAGGCCCUUGCCCAUCACUUACCAGCCCAGCCCGCGGCUCCCCGGCUCUGUGCUGCCCCCAGCUCGCUGCUUUGCCUUCGUCCCUCUGCAGCCCCCUCCCCAUCUCCGGCCGUGCUCCGGGUCCCGUCCCCCCCCUCCCCGUUUCUCCGCGGGGACCCCCAGCGCUCCCCAAGCCCCGGCCCCAUCCCUUUUCUUUCAGCCUUCAACUUUUGCCACGUUGCACUCCCCGCUUUUCUUUCUUUUUUUUUUUUUUUUCUUUUUUUUUUUCUCCGCUUUUCUGCCUUUUCCUCCGUUUUUCUGCCUUAUUUUCCUCCGCUUUUCUGCCCUUUUCUCCGCUUUUCUGCUUUUUUUCCCCCGCUUUUCUGCCUUUUUCUCCGCUUUUCUGCCUUUUUCUCCACCGCCCCAGCCCGGCUUUCCGGCCGCCCACUUUCCCCCCUGUCCCUUUGUCCCCUCUCCGCCUGCCCCUUUCCGCCUGGGCGGGUGGCCCCCGGCGGCCCGGAGUUUCCAUGGGGAUGGAGGCGGCCUCCGGGGCUCUCCGGUUGCAGGAAAAAAAAGCACAAAGAGAGGGGGGGGGACAGCGUAAGGAUGGGGGGGUGGCGAGGGGGACCCGGCAGAAGGGGCCGGUGGAGGAGCGGCCGCAGCCGGGUGGGCGCAAAGAGCAUCACUGCCCGGCUUUUGGCUUAAAUUCACGCUUUUGGCAUUGUUCUUUUUUCUUUCCCGAGGAAUAAAAAAUGGGCCCGGAGAAAGGAAAAAGAGAAAAUUGCCGAAGGGAAGGAGAAAGGCACAGCUGCUUCUGCUCAGCACCGUGUGCUUAUGCCAGGCUGGGGAAGGGGGGCUUUGGCCACCUCCAGCAAAGAGGGUGCAGAAAAUCAUUUUGGCCUCAGGGGCAUCAGCAGCACAUCCAGAUCAGCACAUCCCAUAUUAAGCAUUUGUCCCCAUGGAGGGGAUUCAAGUGUCACUGAUUUGUUGCAGAGCAAAGAGGAAAGUUUGGACCGUGCCAACAUUUCUGGAGGCUGGACAGGAUUCACAGGCACAAGCCCGUCCGUAUCACACCUCUCCCAUGCAAAUUAAUUACGUUAUCUCUCACUCAAGGGGGAUAUUUUUUUAUCAGGCUGUGAGUUUGGCUAUAAAGGUAAUUAACACCAGCUUCCCUUACAGUCGGCUCCUCUCAGCUGCAUUCCAUCCCUGCCUGCAGUAGUUGUGUUCUCUGCCCUCUUCCUUUGGCUCUCCACUCUCACGGUCCUUGCUGGCAGGCACUGAUAUGGAAGUGAACCUGAAUUACACCCUGCGAGGCUGCAGACCUGUAACAGGGAUGGCUUUUAAUCUGGAAAGGCACAAAAUUCACGUCAAGACACCAGAACGCAUUAAAACCGCAUAAAAAAAAUGAAGCAAAUUGUAAUUAUAAAAGGACAAUCAUUGAUUUUACACUUAAUUCUAACAACA
rnacentral:lncRNA from 1 species